UACGAAGGGGGCUAGCGUUGCUCGGAAUCAGCUGGGCGUAAAGGGCGCGUAGGCGGCGUUUUAAGUCGGGGGUGAAAGUCUGUGGCUCAACCACAGAAUGGCCUUCGAUACUGGGACGCUUGAGUAUGGUAGAGGUUGGUGGAACUGCGAGUGUAGAGGUGAAAUUCGUAGAUAUUCGCAAGAACACCGGUGGCGAAGGCGGCCAACUGGACCAUUACUGACGCUGAGGCGCGAAAGCGUGGGGAGCGAACAGG
rnacentral:rRNA from 1 species